rnacentral:rRNA from 1 species
AUGAACGCUGGCGGCGUGCCUAAUACAUGCAAGUCGAGCGAACAGACGAGGAGCUUGCUCCUCUGACGUUAGCGGCGGACGGGUGAGUAACACGUGGAUAACCUACCUAUAAGACUGGGAUAACUUCGGGAAACCGGAGCUAAUACCGGAUAAUAUAUUGAACCGCAUGGUUCAAUAGUGAAAGACGGUUUUGCUGUCACUUAUAGAUGGAUCCGCGCCGCAUUAGCUAGUUGGUAAGGUAACGGCUUACCAAGGCAACGAUGCGUAGCCGACCUGAGAGGGUGAUCGGCCACACUGGAACUGAGACACGGUCCAGACUCCUACGGGAGGCAGCAGUAGGGAAUCUUCCGCAAUGGGCGAAAGCUUGACGGAGCAACACCGCGUGAGUGAUGAAGGUCUUCGGAUCGUAAAACUCUGUUAUUAGGGAAGAACAAAUGUGUAAGUAACUAUGCACGUCUUGACGGUACCUAAUCAGAAAGCCACGGCUAACUACGUG